rnacentral:rRNA from 1 species
AAAUUGAAGAGUUUGAUCAUGGCUCAGAUUGAACGCUGGCGGCAGGCCUAACACAUGCAAGUCGAACGGUAACAGGAAGCGCUUGCUGCUUCGCUGACGAGUGGCGGACGGGUGAGUAAUGUCUGGGAAACUGCCUGAUGGAGGGGGAUAACUACUGGAAACGGUAGCUAAUACCGCAUAACGUCGCAAGACCAAAGAGGGGGACCUUCGGGCCUCUUGCCAUCGGAUGUGCCCAGAUGGGAUUAGCUUGUUGGUGGGGUAACGGCUCACCAAGGCGACGAUCCCUAGCUGGUCUGAGAGGAUGACCAGCCACACUGGAACUGAGACACGGUCCAGACUCCUACGGGAGGCAGCAGUGGGGAAUAUUGCACAAUGGGCGCAAGCCUGAUGCAGCCAUGCCGCGUGUAUGAAGAAGGCCUUCGGGUUGUAAAGUACUUUCAGC